rnacentral:rRNA from 1 species
UGGGGAAUUUUGGACAAUGGGGGCAACCCUGAUCCAGCCAUGCCGCGUGAGUGAAGAAGGCCUUCGGGUUGUAAAGCUCUUUCGGCCGGAACGAAAUCGGGUAUGUGAACAACGUGCCUGGAUGACGGUACUGGAAGAAGAAGCACCGGCUAACUACGUGCCAGCAGCCGCGGUAAUACGUAGGGUGCGAGCGUUAAUCGGAAUUACUGGGCGUAAAGCGUGCGCAGGCGGUUCUGCAAGUCAGAUGUGAAAUCCCCGGGCUUAACCUGGGAACUGCGUUUGAAACUACAGGGCUUGAGUGCGGCAGAGGGGGGUGGAAUUCCACGUGUAGCAGUGAAAUGCGUAGAUAUGUGGAGGAACACCGAUGGCGAAGGCAGCCCCCUGGGCCGACACUGACGCU